AUUGAACGCUGGCGGCAUGCUUUACACAUGCAAGUCGAACGGUAACAGCACUUCGGUGGCUGACGAGUGGCGAACGGGUGCGUAAUACAUCGGAACGUGCCUAGUAGUGGGGGAUAACUACUCGAAAGAGUAGCUAAUACCGCAUGAGAUCUAAGGAUGAAAGCAGGGGACCUUCGGGCCUUGCGCUACUAGAGCGGCUGAUGGCAGAUUAGGUAGUUGGUGGGAUAAAAGCUUACCAAGCCGACGAUCUGUAGCUGGUCUGAGAGGACGACCAGCCACACUGGGACUGAGACACGGCCCAGACUCCUACGGGAGGCAGCAGUGGGGAAUUUUGGACAAUGGGCGCAAGCCUGAUCCAGCAAUGCCGCGUGCAGGAUGAAGGCCUUCGGGUUGUAAACUGCUUUUGUACGGAACGAAAAGCCCUCUUCUAAUACAGGAGGGUCAUGACGGUACCGUAAGAAUAAGCACCGGCUAACUACGUG
rnacentral:rRNA from 1 species